UACAAUAUGGAGGCCAGGUCCCAGAGCCAGC
rnacentral:piRNA from 1 species